rnacentral:rRNA from 1 species
UGUCGUGACGAAAGCGAAGAGGUCACACCCGUUCCCAUCCCGAACACGGAAGUUAAGCUCUUCAGCGCUGAUGGUACUUGGUGGGUGACUGCCUGGGAGAGUAGGUCGUCGCGGCUU